rnacentral:rRNA from 1 species
UACGAAGGGUGCAAGCGUUAAUCGGAAUUACUGGGCGUAAAGGGUGCGUAGGCGGUUCGUUAAGUCUGUUGUGAAAUCCCCGGGCUCAACCUGGGAAUGGCAAUGGAUACUGGCGGGCUAGAGUGUGUCAGAGGAUGGUGGAAUUCCCGGUGUAGCGGUGAAAUGCGUAGAGAUCGGGAGGAACAUCAGUGGCGAAGGCGGCCAUCUGGGACAACACUGACGCUGAGGCACGAAAGCGUGGGGAGCAAACAGG